rfam:Pteropus alecto contig86459, whole genome shotgun sequence.
GGCUCCACAGUGUAAUGGUUAGCACAUCUGCUUUACACACAGAAGGUCCUGGGUUCGCAUCCCAGGUGGAGCCA